GAUGAACGCUGGCGGCGUGCCUAAUACAUGCAAGUCGAGCGAACGGACGAGAAGCUUGCUUCUCUGAUGUUAGCGGCGGACGGGUGAGUAACACGUGGAUAACCUACCUAUAAGACUGGGAUAACUUCGGGAAACCGGAGCUAAUACCGGAUAAUAUUUUGAACCGCAUGGUUCAAAAGUGAAAGACGGUCUUGCUGUCACUUAUAGAUGGAUCCGCGCUGCAUUAGCUAGUUGGUAAGGUAACGGCUUACCAAGGCAACGAUGCAUAGCCGACCUGAGAGAGUGGGAGCCAACCGGGGAGGUGAGACAGGCACAAGACCACUACGGGAGGCGGCAGGCGGGUACUUGCCGAAGCGGGGGAGAGCAUGACGGAACAGCCCCGGGUGUGGGAUAACGUUGUUCCGAGCGUAAAACUGUGUUAUUGGGGAAAAACAUUUUUGAACGGAAAUGUACCCUUCUUGACGUUAAUUAAUAAAAAAGCCGGGGCUAACUACGUG
rnacentral:rRNA from 1 species